UACGAAGGGGGCUAGCGUUGUUCGGAUUUACUGGGCGUAAAGCGCACGUAGGCGGAUCGUUAAGUCGAGGGUGAAAUCCUGGAGCUCAACUCCAGAACUGCCUUUGAUACUGAGAAUCUUGAGUUCGGGAGAGGUGAGUGGAACUGCGAGUGUAGAGGUGAAAUUCGUAGAUAUUCGGAAGAACACCAGUGGCGAAGGCGACUUACUGGACACAUAUUGACGCUGAGGUGCGAAAGCGUGGGGAGCAAACAGG
rnacentral:rRNA from 1 species